rnacentral:tRNA from 1 species
GCCUGGGUAGCUCAGUUGGUUAAGCGUCUGACUUCGGCUCAGGUCAUGAUCUCGCGGUUCGUGGGUUCGAGCCCUGCGUCGGGCU